rnacentral:rRNA from 1 species
GAUGAACGCUAGCGGCAGGCCUAAUACAUGCAAGUCGAGGGGUAACAUGAGAGCUUGCUCUUGAUGACGACCGGCGCACGGGUGCGUAACGCGUAUGCAACCUACCUGUAACUGAGGGAUAGCCCGUGGAAACAUGGAUUAAUACCUCAUAAUACUUAUUGAUGGCAUCAUCAAUUUUUUAAAGAUUUAUUGGUUACAGAUGGGCAUGCGUUAGAUUAGCUAGUUGGUGAGGUAACGGCUCACCAAGGCUACGAUCUAUAGGGGUUCUGAGAGGAUGAUCCCCCACACUGGCACUGAGAUACGGGCCAGACUCCUACGGGAGGCAGCAGUAGGGAAUAUUGGUCAAUGGGGGCAACCCUGAACCAGCCAUGCCGCGUGAAGGAAGACGGCGUUCUGCGUUGUAAACUUCUUUUAUCUGGGAAGAAAUGUAGUCUUGCGAGAUUAUUUGACGGUACCAGAAGAAUAAGCACCGGCUAACUCCG